rnacentral:rRNA from 1 species
UGGGGAAUAUUGCACAAUGGAGGGAACUCUGAUGCAGCGACGCCGCGUGAGUGAUGAAGGAUUUCGUUUCGUAAAACUCUGUUCUAUGGGAAGAAAAGGACUGUACCAUAGGAGAAAGCUCCGGCUAAAUACGUGCCAGCAGCCGCGGUAAUACGUAUGGAGCGAGCGUUGUCCGGAAUUAUUGGGCGUAAAGGGUGCGCAGGCGGCUUUACAAGUUGGAUGUGAAAUAUUGUGGCUCAACCACAAACGUGCAUCCAAAACUGCAAAGGUUGAGUUAAGGAGAGGUAAGUGGAAUUCCUGGUGUAGCGGUGGAAUGCGUAGAUAUCAGGAGGAAUACCGGUGGCGAAGGCGACUUACUGGACUUAUACUGACGCUCAGGCACGAAAGCGUGGGGAGCAAACAGG